AAGUCGUAACAAGGUUUCCGUAGGUGAACCUGCGGAAGGAUCAUUACAGAGAACAUGCCCGUUGGGUAUAUCUCCCACCCUUUGUCUACAAUACUAUUGUUGCUUUGGCAGGCCGGUCUUUAGACCGCUGGCUUUGGCUGGCCUGUGCCUGCCAGAGGACCCAAACAUUCUUUUAUUGUGUUGUCAGAGUAUUAUAAAAUAGUUAAAACUUUCAACAACGGAUCUCUUGGUUCUGGCAUCGAUGAAGAACGCAGCGAAAUGCGAUAAGUAAUGUGAAUUGCAGAAUUCAGUGAAUCAUCGAAUCUUUGAACGCACAUUGCACCCUCUGGUAUUCCAGGGGGUAUGCCUGUUCGAGCGUCAUUACAACCCUCAAGCGCCGCUUGGUAUUGGAUGCUACUCAUGUAGUGCAUCUCAAAAGCAUUGGCGGCAGCAUUUAGCUUCUAGUGCAGUAUUUUCUCACUAAGGAGUGCAAGUGUCUGCCUGCCUAAACCCCGACUUUUCAAAGGUUGACCUCGGAUCAGGUAGGGACACCCGCUGAACUUAAGCAUAUCAAUAAGCGGAGGAAAAGAAACCAACAGGGAUUGCCUCAGUAACGGCGAGUGAAGCGGCAACAGCUCAAAUUUGAAAUCUGGCCUUGCGGUCCGAAUUGUAAUUUGUAGAGGAUGUUUCGAGCAAGGUCUGGUCUAAGUUCCUUGGAACAGGGCGUCAUAGAGGGUGAGAAUCCCGUAUGUGACUGGGUGCCUACGCUCAUGUGAAGCUCCCUCGACGAGUCGAGUUGUUUGGGAAUGCAGCUCAAAAUGGGUGGUAAAUUUCAUCUAAAGCUAAAUACUGGCCAGAGACCGAUAGCGCACAAGUAGAGUGAUCGAAAGAUGAAAAGCACUUUGGAAAGAGAGUUAAACAGUACGUGAAAUUGUUGAAAGGGAAGCGCUUGCAACCAGACUUGCAUGCAGUUGAUCAUCUGGUGUUCUCACCGGUGCACUCAGUUGCAUUCAGGCCAGCAUCGGUCUUGAUGGUUGGAUAAAGGCCCUAGGAAUGUAGCUUCUCUCGGGGAGUGUUAUAGCCUAGGGUGCAAUGCAGCCUAUUGGGACCGAGGACCGCGCUUCGGCUAGGAUGCUGGCGUAAUGGUUGUAAGCGACC
rnacentral:rRNA from 1 species